rnacentral:rRNA from 1 species
GGCUCAGAAUCAACGCUGGCGGCGCGCCUAACACAUGCAAGUCGAACGAGAAAGCGGGAGCAAUCUCGCAAGUAAAGUGGCGUACGGGUGAGUAACACGUGGGUAAUCUACCUUCUGGUGGGGAAUAACCUUGGGAAACCGGGGAUAAUACCGCAUAAGCUCGAGAGAGGAAAGCAGCAAUGCGCCGGAAGAGGAGCCCGCGGCCGAUUAGCUUGUUGGCAGGGUAAAAGCCUACCAAGGCUGAGAUCGGUAGCCGGCCUGAGAGGGCACACGGCCACACUGGCACUGAAACACGGGCCAGACUCCUACGGGAGGCAGCAGUGGGGAAUCUUGCACAAUGGGGGAAACCCUGAUGCAGCGACGCCGCGUGAGCGAUGAAGCCCUUCGGGGUGUAAAGCUCUUUCGGCAGGGACGAUAAUGACGGUACCUGCAGAAGCAGCUGCGGCUAACUACGUGCCAGCAGCCGCGGUAAUACGUAGGCAGCAAGCGUUGUUCGGAGUUACUGGGCGUAAAGGGUGCGUAGGCGGUCCUUUAAGUUUGGUGUGAAAUCUCCCGGCUUAACUGGGAGGGUGCGCCGGAUACUGAGGGACUAGAGUGCGGGAGGGGAGAGUAGAAUUCCUGGUGUAGCGGUGAAAUGCGUAGAUAUCAGGAGGAAUACCGGUGGUGUAAACGGCUCUCUGGACCGUAACUGACGCUGAGGCACGAAAGCGUGGGUAGCAAACAGGAUUAGAUACCCUGGUAGUCCACGCCCUAAACGAUGCAUGCUUGGUGCGGGUGAUUCAGUUCAUCUGUGCCGGAGCUAACGCGUUAAGCAUGCCGCCUGGGGAGUACAGUCGCAAGGCUGAAAACUCA